CAGGACGAACGCUGGCGGCGUGCCUAACACAUGCAUGUCGAGCGAAGUAUUUAAAAGAAGAAUCCCUUCGGGGAAAAUUCUUUAAAUUUCUUAGCGGCGGAUGGGUGAGUAACGCGUGAGGAACCUGCCUUUCACAAAGGGAUAGCCUCGGGAAACUGGGAUUAAUACCUUAUGAAACUGUAAUGCCACCUGGCAAAUCAGUUAAAGCGCAAAGCGGUGAAAGAUGGUCUCGCGUCCCAUUAGUUAGUUGGUGAGGUAAAGGCUCACCAAGACGAUGAUGGGUAACCGGCCUGAGAGGGUGAACGGUCACACUGGAACUGAGACACGGUCCAGACUCCUACGGGAGGCAGCAGUGGGGAAUAUUGCACAAUGGAGGAAACUCUGAUGCAGCGACGCCGCGUGAAUGAUGAAGGCUUUCGAGUCGUAAAAUUCUGUCCUAGGGGACGAUAAUGACGGUACCCUAGGAGGAAGCCCCGGCUAACUACGUGCCAGCAGCCGCGGUAAUACGUAGGGGGCAAGCGUUGUCCGGAUUUAUUGGGCGUAAAGGGUACGCAGGUGGUCUUAUAAGUCAGAUGUGAAAUCUUACGGCUCAACCGUAAUCAGCAUUUGAAACUGUAGGACUUGAAUCAAGGAGAGGAAAGUGGAAUUCCUAGUGUAGCGGUGAAAUGCGUAGAUAUUAGGAGGAAUACCAGUGGCGAAGGCGACUUUCUGGACUUGUAUUGACACUGAGGUACGAAAGCGUGGGGAGCAAACAGGAUUAGAUACCCUGGUAGUCCACGCCGUAAACGAUGAGUGCUAGGUGUCGGGGGUCAAACCUCGGUGCCGGAGCUAACGCAU
rnacentral:rRNA from 1 species